rnacentral:rRNA from 1 species
CAAUAGCGUAUAUUAAAGUUGUUGCGGUUAAAAAGCUCGUAGUUGGAGUUCUGCCGGGUGCCGCCUGUCCGCCCCAGUGGUGAGUACGUGGCGCGCAUUUGGCCCUUUCAAGGGGAGCGUAUCUGCACUUUAUUGUGUGGUGCGGGAUCCUUGACUUUUACUUUGAGGAAAUAGGAGUGUUCCAAGCAGGCUCUCGUCGUGCACAGCUCAGCAUGGAAUAAUAGCAUUGGACCUCGAUUCUAAGCUGUUGGUUGCCAGAAGCGAGGUAAUGAUGAAGAGGGAUAGUUGGGGGCAUUCGUAUUUAACUGUCAGAGGUGAAGUUCUUGGAUUUGUUAAAGACGGACUACUGCGAAAGCAUCUGCCAUGGAUGUUUUCAUUGA